rnacentral:rRNA from 1 species
UACGUAGGGUGCGAGCGUUAAUCGGAAUUACUGGGCGUAAAGCGUGCGCAGGCGGUUCGUUAAGUCAGAUGUGAAAGCCCCGGGCUCAACCUGGGAACUGCAUUUGAAACUGGCGGGCUUGAGUGUGGCAGAGGGGGGUGGAAUUCCGCGUGUAGCAGUGAAAUGCGUAGAGAUGUGGAGGAACACCGAUGGCGAAGGCAGCCCCCUGGGUCAACACUGACGCUCAUGCACGAAAGCGUGGGGAGCAAACAGG